UUGACCUCAAAUCAGGUAGGACUACCCGCUGAACUUAAGCAUAUCAAUAAGCGGAGGAAAAGAAACUAACAAGGAUUCCCCUAGUAACUGCGAGUGAAGAGGGAAAAGCUCAAAUUUAAAAUCUGGCAGCUUCGCUGUCCGAGUU
rnacentral:rRNA from 1 species